rnacentral:rRNA from 1 species
GACGAACGCUGGCGGCGUGCUUAACACAUGCAAGUCGAGCGGUAAGGCCCUUUCGGGGGUACACGAGCGGCGAACGGGUGAGUAACACGUGGGUGACCUGCCUCUAGCUCUGGGAUAAGCCCGGGAAACUGGGUCUAAUACUGGAUAUGACUCCAUGACGCAUGUUGUGGGGUGGAAAGCCUUGUGCGGCUAGAGAUGGGCCCGCGGCCUAUCAGCUUGUUGGUGGGGGAUGGCCUACCAAGGCGACGACGGGUAGCCGGCCUGAGAGGGCGACCGGCCACACUGGGACUGAGACACGGCCCAGACUCCUACGGGAGGCAGCAGUGGGGAAUCUUGCGCAAUGGGACGAAAGCCUGACGCAGCGACGCCGCGUGAGGAUGAC